rnacentral:rRNA from 1 species
GAUGAACGUUGGCGGUGUGCCUAAUACAUGCAAGUCGAACGGAGACUGUAGCAAUACUGUCUUAGUGGCGAACGGGUGAGUAACGCGUUGGUGAUCUGCCUCGAAGUGUGGAAUAACCUCCCGAAAGGGAAGCUAAUACCGCAUAGUCUCUCAAGGUUUAGAAAAUUGAGAGUAAAGGAUUUAUUCGCUUCGAGAGGAGCCUGCGUCCCAUCAGCUAGUUGGUAGGGUAACGGCCUACCAAGGCAAUGACGGGUAGGGGACCUGAGAGGGUGGCCCCCACAAUGGAACUGAAACACGGUCCAUACACCUACGGGUGGCAGCAGUAGGGAAUAUUAGAAAUGGGCGGAAGCCUGAUCCAGCCAUGCCGCGUGCAGGAUGAAGCAUCUAUGGUGUGUAAACUGCUUUUGUACGAGAAGAAACAUCCCGACGUGUCGGGACUUGACGGUAUCGUAAGAAUAAGGAUCGGCUAACUCCGUG